UACGUAGGGUGCAAGCGUUGUCCGGAAUUAUUGGGCGUAAAGAGCUCGUAGGCGGUCUGUCGCGUCGGCUGUGAAAACCUGGGGCUCAACCCCGGGCCUGCAGCCGAUACGGGCAGACUAGAAUUCGGCAGGGGAGACUGGAAUUCCUGGUGUAGCGGUGAAAUGCGCAGAUAUCAGGAGGAACACCGGUGGCGAAGGCGGGUCUCUGGGCCGAUACUGACGCUGAGGAGCGAAAGCGUGGGGAGCGAACAGG
rnacentral:rRNA from 1 species